rnacentral:rRNA from 1 species
GACGAACGCUGGCGGCGUGCUUAACACAUGCAAGUCGAACGGACGGGCCCUGCUUUUGUGGGGUGCUCGAGUGGCGAACGGGUGAGUAACACGUGAGUAACCUGCCCUUGACAUUGGGAUAACUUCAGGGAACUGGGGCUAAUACCGGGUAGGAGCUCCUGCUGCAUGGUGGGGGUUGGAAAGUUUCGGCGGUUGGGGAUGGACUCGCGGCUUAUCCGCUUGUUGGUGGGGUAGUGGCUGACAAAGGCUUUGACGGGUAGGCGGCAUGAGAGGGUGACCGGCCACAUUGGGACUGCGAUACGGCCCAGACUCCUACGGGAGGCAGCAGUGGGGAACAUGGCAGAAUGGGCGGAAGCCUGAUGCAGAAACGCCGCGUGCGGGAUGACGGCUUUCGGGUUGUAAACCGCUUUCGCCGGUGACGAAGCGUGAGUGACGGUAAUGGGUAAAGAAGCACCGGCUAACUACGUG